GAAAAAUUUCCAGCCAUAUAAAUAAGCUAAGUUUACCUGUUAAAUUUAUUACAAGAUGUAAUUAAAUUCGAUCGCUAAAAGUAUGAUAUUUUUCUUAGAAAGUAAUAAAAAAAAAAAAAAACACGUACGUCUAAGUUAAUAUUGUACAACCAAUAACCAGUUGCGUAGGUGUGUAGACUAUAUAAAAUGGAAUUGUGAGAAGAUAAAUAUUAUUGGCUGUCAGCCACGAGAAAAAGGCUGACUCGGCAGCAAACCGAAACAGCUAGUAGAACAGGCAAACUGAGACUUCCUGUCGACGGAUCAGUGUCUGCAUUUUAUUGUUGAUUUAACCCUACAAGUGAAUGCUGAAAUAAAAAUUUAAAAUAUUUUAACAUGACUUCAAAAGCUAACAAAAAUUUUAAGCAUUCAUAUCGUAUUUAUUUAAAUGUUUAUCAAGAUUACUACAGUGUUUUUUUUUUAUGCCGCGUCGAAAUAAUUUUAUCUCGGAUAAUGCGAUUUAGAUACGUCCUAUUUAGUUUUAUAUAUCGAUAUUUUCUCAUUAUUAAAAAAAAAAACGAUAUUUGUAUUCUGUUUCGAAUGAAUCAUUUGUUUUGCCAGGCUUCCUGUCACGUAGACCUCUGUAGUAGAGUAACUUUGUGUGUUUCAAGUAACGAAUAACAGAUGGAGUGUUGAAAAUAGUAGAAGUGGAUGGAUGAAGGAAGAAAAAUUUUAUGCUAUUGUAAACUAUAUCGUGUGCGAUUCGAAAUCUUGA
rnacentral:lncRNA from 1 species